GGAAAACUUGCAAACGUUUGCGUUACUUUACUCUGCGAGUAACUAACGGCUUAUUGGAGCAUCGCUAAAGUCACAUGAUCAACUUGCCGAUAGAAAACGUGCACAUGCACUUUCGAAGGUUGUUCUACAACAGCUGAGUACAGUAAUAAGUAACAUAAGCAUAUAUUAAAUUUAUGAAGAUUAUGUUACAAAAAUAGUUUUAAAAAGACGCUGACUAGUGGAAAAAAUAAUUCGAAAAGGAUAAAUAUAACAUGAAAAUGUGUUCACCUUGAGAAGACUUUACUGAAGACAGAUGAAUGAUGGG